rnacentral:rRNA from 1 species
GUGAGACAGUUCGGUCCCUAUCCGUCGUGGGCGUAGGAAAUUUGAGAGGAGCUGUCCUUAGUACGAGAGGACCGGGAUGGACGCACCGCUGGUGUACCAGUUGUUCCGCCAGGAGCAUCGCUGGGUAGCUACGUGUGGAAGGGAUAAGUGCUGAAAGCAUCUAAGCAUGAAGCCCCCCUCAAGAUGAGAUUUCCCAUCACGUAAGUGAGUAAGAUCCCUCAGAGAUGAUGAGGUUGAUAGGUCUCGUGUGGAAGCAUGGCGACAUGUGUAGCUGAGAGAUACUAAUCGAUCGAGGGCUUAACCAAUUU